rnacentral:lncRNA from 1 species
UCAUUUCUCUUGGCCGGCCAAAGGAAGAAAAGGGAAGAAAAGAAGAAGAACAAAAACCUAGCUAAGCAUUUCAAGAGAAAUUGACAAAAUUUCAAAGAAUCAAGUGACAAAAGGUAAGAUUUUUCAAUUCUAGCUUGUGAUCUACCUUUCCUAUGCAUUCUUUUUCAUUUUCCAUGGUUGAGAAUCAAGUUUGCAUGAGGAUACCUUUGCUGGCCGGACAUGGGGGGAGGAGUUUUGAACUUGGAUUUGGUUAGAUUUCAAUAGAUUCUAGUGUUUUUAGUUAGUUAGUGAUGUGUAGUAUGAAAAGCAAACAAGAAAAGUUCAUUUUCUUCCAUCACCCUCCAUUGGCCGAAUCUUCCCUAUGGUGUGUUAAUAGUGGACUUGAUUUUAUUUCAAGUGAUUUGGUUAGGAAUUAAUGAUUUAUGGUGUAAAAAAUCAAGUGGGAAAAACCAUAGUGUUCAUGCACCCACCAUGGCCGAAAUUCCCAAGAAGAAAUGUGAAGAUGAUCUUGCCAAAUUUUAUGUUACUUGACUUGAGUUUGAUGAUAUGGAGUAUUGGGAGAGAAAUGGAGUUAUUUGGAGUUAAAUUGGACAUAUUGGCCAAUUAAUCGGGUGAUAGAUCGAAUUAGGGUAAUACCGUUUUAUUUAAGUACACAAUUGAAUUUAUGUAGAACACUGUGUUUAGACGAUGAUCCAAACAAUUUGCAUUCCAUUUCAUGCAUUAGUAUAGAGCCUGAAUUAGUUUUAUAACAGUUUAGUACAAAUGUAGUAAAUGGCUUAUUGUGCAUUAUGUCUAGGUGGUGAACUUUCUGGCAAAAGUAAAGAGAUAGUACCCCGAGGAUCAAGAAUCGGAGUACUCGAAACUCGAUUUCCAUUACAGUGAGUAACCUUAUCAUCAUCUUGAUUAUCUGAAGUGAAUUUUAAUUCGUUUUUGUGAUUUUAUGGAAAAUGAGUUUAAAUGGUAAAUUUUUAUGUUUUAUAAGCUAAAUGUGAUUAAAUGAAAUGAUUUUAUAAAAUUGUCUUGAAAUUGAAUGAUGAUUUUGAAAAUGGAGUAAUUGGAGACUACUUGUUGUAUUGUAAAUUAUGUUUUGAAUUGAAUUGUAAAACUCGACCCUAUAAACACAUGUCAUGACAUACAUGCACUAAGUAACAUGUUAUUACGCUAGGAAAGUUCCUAAGAAUAGACGAAACCCGAUAUUGUACCUAACGGUACACUUGAGUUGAUUUAACCUCGAACUAGUUCAAAUAGGAAUCGUAGGAUGAAAUUUAAUAUUUUACAGUCCAGGAAUGACUAAAAAUGAUUGUUCGAAGUUCGAGGGUUCAUUUGGGGAAAAAUUUUAAAUUUUGAUGUUUAAGGGCAAAAUCGUCAUUUUUCCAUCUACGAAAAUAAUUUGAUCAUGGAAUGAAAUUUUUGACCAAGAUUAACUAUUUGGAGUAUAAUUUAAUGAUAGGAAGUGAAAAUUUUCAAUUUCGGCAAUUUUCGAAACAUAGGGGCAAAAUUGUAAUUUUAUCACCCCAGGGUAAAAACCGUAAUUUUUACCACCCAAAACUUGUCAAAAUCAUAGGAUUUACUUAUUUUUGGUAUGAAUAACUAUGGUAUGUUAAGUGGUGAAAAAUUGAAGUUUAAAGGAUGAAAUUUUAAAAAUGGGCCAAUGGAAAAGUGACACAUGGUACUUUUUAAUUGUUUAAUAUUAUUUUAAUGAAAAGUCAGCCCAUUUAAACCCCAUAUUAAGUGAUGGCCAGCCAUAAGGAGAGAACAAGAGGGAAAAUAGAGAGGAAAGGAAGAAAAGAGGAAAACCAAAGGAAAACUGAAAAAUUCAAAGGGGAAAUCGCGUUUUUCGACCGUUUACGCGUCUAACGGUAAGAUUUUUUGACUUUAGCUUGAUUUCUACCUUUCUUAUGCCUUUGUUUUCAUUUAGCAUGCUUGAGGAGAGAGAUCAAAAAGUGAUAUCAAGGGCUGGACGAAAUUCAAGGGGGAGGAAUUUGAAAUUUUUAUGUUUUGAUUUUUAGUUAAAUUGAUAGUUUUAGUUAGUUAAAUGUGUAUAGAAAUCAAAUUGGACAAGAAAGCAUGAAAUUUUCACAAUACCCACCCUUGGCUGAAUGUUCAAUGAUGUACAAUGAUGAUGAACUGAUUUUUAUUCUAAGAGAAAUGAAGAGAAAAUGAUGAAAAAUGGUUAAAUGUGAUAGAAAAACAAAGUAGAAGAUUUACCGAAUUAAUGUCCCAUUUUUGGCCGAAUUUUUCAAGGAAGAAAGUGAGCUGAUUUUGGUGAUUUUAGUGAGUUAUUGGCUGAUAUUUAAUGGUUAGAAAUGUUGGAAAGAAAAUGGGACAAUUUAGAGCUAAAAUGGAGCGCGUUAGCAAUUUAUCGGGUAAAGUGUCAAAUAUAGGUUAAUAUUGCGUUUAAGCCGUUUUAGGCUAUUGCAUUUCAUACCAUGCAUUAGUAUAGGAUUUAAGUCAAUUAUAUAGUGAUUUAGCAUCAAUGUGGUGAAUUGGGUAAAUUUUGUAAUGUGUUUAGGAGGAGAGCUUUCCGGUAAAGGCAAGAAAGUCGUACCCGAUGAACAGUGAUCGGGGCACCUAGAAAGCAUUUAAUUUGUACAAAUGGUGAGUAAGCCUAUUAUUAUUGUAAAUUAUCUAGAGUUUAUUUUUAAAUGAUCUUUAUGUAUUUUAUGAAACGAAAAUGAGAUUAAAAUGGGAUUUUUGAUGUUUUAGAAAUAAAUGUGACAAAUAAAUAUAUUGUCUUGAUUUUCUGAAAUAAGAAACUUUUGAUUAUAAAAUUGAGUAAUUGGAGGCUGCCAAUUGUCUUGAAAAAUAUAUUUUCCUAUGAAUGGCUUAUGAUAUAUGAGUAUAUGUGACUAUAUUUUAUAAUUGCAUUGGGAAUUUAUGUAAGCUGUCCUUUAUUAUGCAGACUGAGUAAAUAAAUAAAAGUUAGGUUAUAUUGUCGAAAUUUUAUUAAAAUUGGUGGGUUUAGUCACUGUAGUGGCUGGUUUUCGUGGACUACCUAUUAGAAUGGCACGAUAAACCCGGUUAUAUAGUUACUUCGGUUGUAAAGGCGAGGAGGGUAACUCCUAGGGUAGUAUUAGAGCUCACUUCACGUCGAACCCCCACGUGAAUGUGUAACUCGGUCAACGCCAAGGAACGACUUGUUUUCAAAACUAACAUGUUUUUAACAUGUAAAUAUCUUAACAACCUUGGCAGACUCUGUUAGAUGCCUCGGUCAAGGUAUCCCCGAGGACUAGUUUUGGCUUGAGCCCUGUUUUAAUAAAAGUUAUAAGCCUUAACAAUUGUUUUGGUAAAUUACAAAUAUUUUAUGGUUUAAGAAAUAAAUUGAAAAACCUUAUGAAAUGGUUUGUAAUUUGUUGUUUAAAGUUGCCUCCAUAUUACUCGCCUUUAGAUAUUUAUGAUAAUGUCUGUUUACUCAUUGGGAUUGUGAAAUCUCACCCACCUCCUUUUCAAGUAUUUCAGGCCUGUGGUAGCUUGUAGAUACCAAUUUUGUCAAGGAUUCCAAUUAACCCCUCUAUCACACGGACAGUAGGUUACUAUCACCAACACUUGGUGUAUUUAUGGGCCACUUGUAAUUGUAAAUAUUAUUGUAUAUUAUAACUUUGUAAAUUAUUGUAUGUAUGAAUUUAUUUUACUUUUAAGUUACAAAAGAUUACUUACAUGUGUUUCUAUAAAUAUUGUUUUAUAUAAAAAUGCUAUAUUUUUGUCUUUUGAUUUACUUGAGCCGAAAACGACUGAAAAUUGUUUAAAACUGAUAUAUAAGCCUUACGAGGUUUCGAUUGGUAUUCCAGGUAAUGAGUAUCAAUCGGGACGUCGCGACGGUUAUCAUGGGCUCGAGGGAGGUUCUGGGUCGUGACAUGAAUGGCUUAUGAUAAUGUGGGCAUGAAUGGCUAGAUGGAUAUUUGUGUUGAAAAUGCAUAAACUGUUGUUUGCCUUGAUAGGCUGGAUAAUGAUAAAAUUGCCAUGUCAUGCUGUUGAAUUUUAUUGAAUUGGUGGGUUAUAGAGUGGUCACUGCAGUGGCGGGUUCUGUGGACUAGCCUAUUAGAGGGGCACAAAAUCUGGGUAUAUUCUUAUCUCGAUCGGAGAGGCGCGUAGGGUAACUCCUGAGGUAAAACUUUAGAGUUCACUUCACGCCAAACCACCAUGUGAGGGUGAACUCAGCCAAUGCCAAGGAACGGCUAUGUUUUCAAAAUAAAAACAUAAUUUAUGCGUACAUGACUUUUUAACAGCCUUGACAGACUCAGUUGGGAUAGCCCCAGGCUAAGGUAUCCCUGACAACUGAGUAUGAGAAUGAUUUUGGCAUGAGCCAAGCUUUUCAAGAAAUCAUAAGCCUCGUUGUUUAUUUGGGUGAAAUGAAUAUAUUUUAUCUUAUUAAAAUGAGUUCGAAAUGCUAUGAAUCAUUUUUAUGCUAAUAUAUUUUAUCUGUCUCCAUUUACUCAACUUUAGAUAUUUUAGAUGGUAUUUGUUUACUCAUUGGGAUUAUAUAAUCUCACCACCCUCCUUUCCACCCAUUUCAGGCUCAGGAUAGUCGAUAGAUAUCUCAUUUCGUUGAGGGCUAUAGUUGGACUUGCAUCCUCAAAAACUGUAGGUUCACAGCCUUCAUUACUUUUAGUCAUUCGAGGGCCCACAUGUCAUUGUUAAAUGCUUUGAAUACCUGGCUGCGUGUGCUACUGU